CAACCCUCACGCCCUGCGUGGUCUUGGGCCGAGCCUCUGGGCUGGCCUCAAAAACAGUGGCGGUGCCUCUGGGUCCUGAGCGUAGUAAUACUUCCGCUACAGGGUCCCCGAGAGCGCUGGCCGAACCCCAACUCUACA
rnacentral:misc_RNA from 1 species